rnacentral:rRNA from 1 species
UUUAUGGAGAGUUUGAUCCUGGCUCAGGAUGAACGCUGGCGGCGUGCCUAAUACAUGCAAGUCGAGCGAACAGAUAAGGAGCUUGCUCCUUUGACGUUAGCGGCGGACGGGUGAGUAA